AUGCCACUAAAGUUUUGGGAUGAGGCAUUCCUCACUGUCGUCCACAUCAUCAAUAUGCUUCCAAGCCAUGUCAUCAACAAUGAAACACCUACAGAAAAACUUCUCCAUACCAAACCAGACUACACUUCCCUUCGUGUGUUUGGCUGCGCUUGUUGGCCUAACCUUAGACCAUAUAACAAACACAAACUAAUAUUUCGAUCUAAGCAGUGUGUUUUCAUUGGCUACAGUGCCAUGCACAAAGGUGUCAAAUGCCUAGAUGUCUCUACUGGCCGUGUCAACAUUUCACGUGAUGUAGUCUUUGAUGAAACAAAGUUUCCCUUUGCUGAUCUCCACCCCAACGUCGGUGCCUUACUCCGUCAAGAAAUUCUGCUUUUGCCUUCUCAUCUCACCGGUUUUGAUCAAAGGGGGAAUAAUAAUUGUGUUGAUCCAUCAUUGACUAAUCCUCAUAACCAUGUGCAUGAGCUUUGUGUUGAUGCAGCCGAAGGAAGCAUGAGCAAAUAUGGUGAAGAAAUCAGCUAA
rnacentral:rRNA from 1 species